rnacentral:rRNA from 1 species
UUGAAAGGGAAACGAUUGAAGUCAGUCAUGCCAGUGGGAAUCAACUUAGGGGAAACUCUGGGUGCACUUCUUCGCUUGGCAGGUCAACGUCGAUUUUGAAUGUCAUAAAAUAAUUGGGGGAAGGUAGCUCCUUCGGGAGUGUUAUAGCCCUUGAUAGAUGUGAUGUUUGGGGUCGAGGAUUGCAACAGAUACCUUCGGGGCUAGCCGCCUGAUCUCUAAUUGGUGUUGGGUUACGGAUAGCAUGCNGNNNNNNNNNNAUUACUGGUUAAAAGGUUAGAGUGNGCAUAAAUUCGUUAAGGAUGUUGACGUA